UACGUAGGGUGCGAGCGUUGUCCGGAAUUAUUGGGCGUAAAGCGCACGUAGUCGGCUUUGCAAGUCGGGUGUGAAAUCCCCGGGCUCAACCUGGGAACUGCAUCCGAGACUGCAUUGCUAGAGUAUGGGAGAGGGAAGCGGAAUUUCUGGUGUAGCAGUGAAAUGCGUAGAUAUCAGAAGGAACAUCAGUGGCGAAGGCGGCUUCCUGGACCAAUACUGACGAUCAGGUGCGAAAGCGUGGGGAGCAAACAGG
rnacentral:rRNA from 1 species